CCCUAGCCCUGAUAGAAGUGAAAAUCCUUUUGUGCCGGUGUUCGGCACAAAAGAUUGGAACGGAUAGCAGGAAACAGC
rnacentral:sRNA from 1 species